CCCCUCUCAGGGUCACACCCGGAGAGUUCCCAGAACUCUAACCAGUCUUGACUACAGGAAGGAGAAUCAGGCAGAGGCAUAUCCAUUCCAUUCCUAGCUUGGGCAGUGGCUAGCGAGUGGAAGGCAAUCUGCUACCAGU